rnacentral:rRNA from 1 species
GACGAACGCUGGCGGCGUGCUUAACACAUGCAAGUCGAACGAAGAGCGAUGGAAGCUUGCUUCUAUCAAUCUUAGUGGCGAACGGGUGAGUAACGCGUAAUCAACCUGCCCUUCAGAGGGGGACAACAGUUGGAAACGACUGCUAAUACCGCAUACGAUCUAACCUCGGCAUCGAGGAUAGAUGAAAGGUGGCCUCUACAUGUAAGCUAUCACUGAAGGAGGGGAUUGCGUCUGAUUAGCUAGUUGGAGGGGUAACGGCCCACCAAGGCGAUGAUCAGUAGCCGGUCUGAGAGGAUGAACGGCCACAUUGGGACUGAGACACGGCCCAGACUCCUACGGGAGGCAGCAGUGGGGAAUCUUCCGCAAUGGACGAAAGUCUGACGGAGCAACGCCGCGUGAGUGAUGACGGCCUUCGGGUUGUAAAGCUCUGUUAAUCGGGACGAAAGGCCUUCUUGUGAAUAGUGAGAAGGAUUGACGGUACCGGAAUAGAAAGCCACGGCUAACUACGUG